CCUACGGGAGGCAGCAGUGGGGAAUUUUGGACAAUGGGCGCAAGCCUGAUCCAGCCAUGCCGCGUGAGUGAAGAAGGCCUUCGGGUUGUAAAGCUCUUUCGGCGGGGAAGAAAAGGUACGUGCUAAUACCACGGACUAAUGACGGUACCCGAAGAAGAAGCACCGGCUAACUACGUGCCAGCAGCCGCGGUAAUACGUAGGGUGCAGGCGUUAAUCGGAAUUACUGGGCGUAAAGCGUGCGCAGGCGGUUUGUUAAGACAGAUGUGAAAUCCCCGGGCUUAACCUGGGAACUGCGUUUGUUACUGGCAAGCUAGAGUGUGGCAGAGGGGGGUAGAAUUCCAGGUGUAGCAGUGAAAUGCGUAGAUAUCUGGAGGAAUACCGAUGGCGAAGGCAGCCCCCUGGGCUAACACUGACGCUCAUGCACGAAAGCGUGGGGAGCAAACAGGAUUAGAUACCCUGGUAGUCCACGCCCUAAACUAUGUCAACUGGUUGUCGGGGAAGCAAUUCCUUGGUAACGAAGCUAACGCGUGAAGUUGACCGCCUGGGGAUACGGCCGCAAGGUUAAAACNCAAAGGAUUGACGG
rnacentral:rRNA from 1 species